rnacentral:rRNA from 1 species
CUACGUAGGUGGCGAGCGUUACUCGGAAUCACUAGGCGUAAAGCGCGGGUAGGUGGCCUAGCAAGUCUGUCGUGAAAGCUCCCGGCUCAACUGGGAGAGGUCGGCAGAUACUACUAGGCUUGAGUGUGGGAGAGGGUACUGGAAUUCCCGGUGUAGCGGUGAAAUGCGUAGAGAUCGGGAGGAACACCAAUGGCGAAAGCAGGUACCUGGACCAAUACUGACACUGAGCCGCGAAAGCUAGGGGAGCAAACAGGAUUAGAAACCCCAGUAGUCC